rnacentral:rRNA from 1 species
UGGGGAAUCUUGGACAAUGGGGGCAACCCUGAUCCAGCCAUGCCGCGUGAGUGAUGAAGGCCUUAGGGUCGUAAAGCUCUUUCGCCUGUGAAGAUAAUGACGGUAGCAGGUAAAGAAACCCCGGCUAACUCCGUGCCAGCAGCCGCGGUAAUACGGAGGGGGUUAGCGUUGUUCGGAAUUACUGGGCGUAAAGCGCACGUAGGCGGACCAGAAAGUUGGGGGUGAAAUCCCGGGGGCUCAACCCCGGAACUGCCUCCAAAACUAUUGGUCUAGAGUUCGAGAGAGGUGAGUGGAAUUCCAAGUGUAGAGGUGAAAUUCGUAGAUAUUUGGAGGAACACCAGUGGCGAAGGCGGCUCACUGGCUCGAUACUGACGCUGAGGUGCGAAAGUGUGGGGAGCAAAACAGGAUUAGAUACCCUGGUAGUCCACACCGUAAAACGAUGAAUGCCAGUCGUCGGGUAGCAUGCUAUUCGGUGACACACCUAACGGAUUAAGCAUU